AGAAAAGGAGGAGGACACUUUAUUGCAUGUAAAUUAAAAGUAAAUUUACAGGAAUUAUUUAUUAUUUGCAGUGCAUGCUCUUUAUUCUUGAGCCAAAGAGACAUAGCUUAACUAAAGCUAACUAUGAUCAGUGAUGUCACAUAAUGGCAAUUGUGACAGUGAGUUUGUGGCCCUUUAUCCCUUAUCACCCUUCCAAUCACAUCGCUGUGAUUGAGUGCAGACUGCUUCCUUUGUUUGUUUUCAUGCUCCCCCUUUGAUUACUCUCUCUUUUCUGAGCUGUAUUCUCCUUCCCUGCAGGUGUGCAGGGAAAGAUGAUAGCCUGGCCCAUGGCUGAAUGAUUACUUCUCAUCCAUGGAAUUCAUUUUCAUAUCUGGAAUGCUGCAUAAUCUGGUGAAUAAAGCACUAAACUGGAAAUCCAGGAUAUACAGUUUGUGAGGACUUGCUGACUGCACUUAUGUGAUCAUCUUAACAGCUUAAUGCUUGAAUUAACUCAAUCAGUAUCAUGGUAACCUGGUACCAUCUUGAAGAGAACUCCAAAACCGUAGAGUUUAUCACCUCAGAGUCCUGCCUGGAACAAAAAUCACUGAUGAACUUUGAGUUCUAUUACAGACCCUGUGUAGUGAGUUCAGCACAGGAAAUGUCUAAGAAAUGAAUAAAUGAAUGCAUGCAAGCUCUGAGGUCUUGACAAUAACCUACUUCGAGUUUGAAAAUGCAGCACCGGAAUGUUUGCGUUCGACUUACCAGAAGCUUCUCCCUUGCCUCUUGGCUGUGAACCUCCACAGCGCCCUCCCACAGUAUGUCAAUGGUGUUGUUGGAUCAGCAUUCCCCCUAUUCUGGAAUGUUUUUCUCUUUCUGUUCAUUUGUGUUGUUUGCAUUGGAGGUACCCCGAUCUUAACAGAGCUAUUUCUCUGACUUUAGGUGAUGACCCAGGGAUGGGCACCCAACAUAAGCACCAUCUAUUGAAAAGUCUCUUAUUUCUCCAUUAAAUUUUUUGGCACCUUCAUUGAAAAUCAGUCGAGCAUAAAUAAAUCUCCAAGUGAGAAGACCUUACUUGUCUUCUGAAAGUCUGGCCAACGAGCUAUACCUAGUGAUUCCAAAGUCCACAUAUAUUUACUCUGUUCUCACUGUACAAAGUAACCACUCUGAAGUCAAAAAAGCUGGGAUACAUGAAGACUGCCAUCCCUUGAGUCACUUGCCCUGUAGCUGCCACUGUUGGAAAAGGGCUUGCUUCUGUGUCCUUGUGCCCACUUUGAAAAUCCCUGGGAAGUCCUUGGAGUCAGAUGAGCAGGCCUCCGCCACUCUGCCAAAAAGUCUGUUCAAUCAGGAGUCCCCAACCCCUGAGCCAUGGACUGAUAUGGAGCUAUGGUCUGUUAGGAACUGGGCUGCCCAGGAGGAGCAAUGGUGCUUCUACAAUUUCCUUAUAGGAGGAGUGAAGAGUAAGCAUUUGGAUUGGACCAGGAUUUGGAGAACUUGUCAUGUUGCUCUACGUGCAUAUGAAAUACAUCAUUGUAACUUAGAAUGUGAAUUACAGAACAAACAUGAAAGUUAGAAAAAUAUUCUAAACAUAUUUUUAUGAUCUCUACUUGCAAUAAGGAAACUGUUAGGCUUUUCCAUCAAAGAAUAAGUGCAACAAAAACAAAAAUUUCUGGAUGGAAAAAAGGAGAUUUGAGGGGCAAGGCUAAAGCCCCCCAAACCUUCCUCAGGAUGAACACAAACCCCAUCUUUAUUUUCCUGUUGCCACUGUUCCAUGUUGCUGGGCUCUAUUCCAGCAAAAUUUUGGAAAGCGUUGCUACAGUUCUGCUCAUUUCUUUCUCACUUCAGAACAAUGAUGCCCUUUCCAGAUAAAGCAUCUUAAUUAAACAGAUGACAUUUGAACUAGACCUUGAAGAACAGGUCAGAGUUAUAUUGGGAAAGAAGUAGGAGAGGAACACCCAGAAAAUAACAUUUAUGAACAUAAAGGCACAGAAUAUAAAUGUCUCUGACAAAGACAGAAAUCAAGGGUAAAUUUUAGUGUGGCAUAGAUUAAUUCACUAACUCAAUAUAUAUAUAUUUACAUAGAGAGCAUGGAUAGAUACUAGAAAUAAAACAAUGGAUUAGACAUGGGCAACCUCAUGAUGUUUAGCAAAUAUUGUGUUCUUUAAGGCAGCAGUUCCCAACCUUUUUGGUACUAGGGACCGGUUACGUGGAAGACAAUUUUUCCACAGACUGGGAUGGGGGGACUGUUUUCAAGACAAUUCAAGCACGUUACAUUUAUGGUGCACUUUAUUUCUAUUAUUACUGCAUUGUAAUACAUAAUGAAAUAAGUACACAACUCACCAUAAUGUGGCAUCAUUGGAAGCCCUGAGCGUGCUUUCCUGCAACUAGACAGUUCCCUCUGGGGCCAAUGGGAAACAAUGACAGAUCAUCAGGCAUUAGAUUCUCAUGAGGAGCCCGCAACCUACAUCCCUCACAUGCACAGUCCACAAUAGGAUUCAUGCGCCUAUGAGAAUCUAGUGUCAUGGCUGGCAGAUAUAACAGAAGAUGGAGUUCAGGCGAUAAUGUGAGUAAGAGGGAGCGGCCAGAAAUACAGAUGAAACUUCACUCACUCACUUGCCACUCACCUCCUGGUCUGCGUCCUGGUUCCUAACGGGCCAUGGAUAGUUACAAGUCUGUGGCCCAGGGGGUUGAAGACCCCUGCCCUAGAGUACAUAUGCAGUGGAUGUUGAGAAACAGAUUAAUUCAUUAAUGCAGAGUCUUCAUAUUCCAAACAAAAGAUUUGAGGGUUUUAUCUGUUAUAACAACACUUGUGUUUCACUAAUUAUGUCAGGCACGACUCUAAUAACUUCAAAUUUAUUCACUCACCUAUUAUUAGAACAACAUUAUGAUAUAGGAAUACACUUGAUAUGUCCAUUAUACUGAUGAGGAGAUUCAGACAUAGAGUAGUUAUUUAACUUGGGUAAGGUCUUCAGAGCUAAUAAGAGGAAGAACCAGGACUUGAGCAUGGGUAGGGUGGCUUCAGAGUGGUAGUCUGGCUGUUUGUUUGUAAUCACCAAAAUGAAGCUACAGUGAUGUUUCAGUUUACAUAACAGAGUCCUGAGGCUUAAAGAUGCCAGGAAAUUAAUUUAAAGAUAUUGUAGUACGUAUCCCUGUCCAGACUAGAACUCCAGUCCAGGAGAACGCCAGUGCUCCUUCUGUUUCACAUAGAGAACACAUCAGUACUGUGACACACAGAAAGGUUUUAGUGGGAUGCUUGGUUAAGAGAAAUACGUUUACAACAAAAGAGGUGAUACUGUUGCUUGUCUUAGAAAAAUAUGGGAGACCUCAAUCAGCUGAAGUUCAACAUGUUCAAAGGUGGACAAAGUUUCUCGUUGCUCUAAGUAAGUUUAAAAUUGAGCCAAAAAGGUCUUGAUUGAUAAGGGUGGCUGAUACAUUUUUGAAUGUUUUCACUGGCAUGAUUCACAAAAUUGUAUAAAUUGUAUAGUCCCAGGCUAUCCCACCAUUAACUGCCUCAUGGGGACUGUCUCUAACUUCCCCAGGACUUGAUCCAUAGGGAAAUGCUUGCAAGAAUAAAAAGCAUUAAUGAAUUCAGGAUUCGUUUCUCACUAAACAGCAGUUUGGGGUGAUGUCACACACACACACACACACACACACACACAAAAAUGGAACAAGCCAGCCCCAUUUUCAGCAUUGCCUCAUUUAAGCUUGGCACACAAAGACAAUUGAUGCUGACUCAGAGUUAUUUCAAGAUGGAAAGAGUGUCCUGAAUUAUCACACCCCACGUAAUCCUAGCCACCCUGUAUUCCUUCUCCUUACUGUCCCAUAGGUGGGUACAUCCAUCCCAGAUAACAAGGUUUGACUCAUUUAAGGCCCUUUUCCUUCUGCACAAGAUCCUGAAAUUUUCCCUACCGUGUGUGUUUGAUGGUGCAGAAGAAAUAAUUCUCAAAAAUAAACUAGUUUAUCAUUAGAUGGAAGCAAGGUAUCACCUUUAUUAAUGAGAAAGCAGAGUUUGAAGGACAUAGUGCAUUCCUCAUGCAGCUAGACCCUCUGCUAUUGGCUCCUGCCUUUAAAUUAGAAAGCCUUACUUUUCCAUCUGCAGGUAUUGCUAUCCCUUUACAAGCCUCUGCUCCCACGGAAAGAAAAUUGUGCAACAUACGACAAAAAGCAAUAGAGGCUUCAGACUCUCCAAAAAGAAAAAGAAAUUAUGUCAAGAAUGUAGUUUAUUAUUUCCCAAUUGACUCUAAGAUUAAAUUGACUCUAAGAUUAGUCAGUAACUUUUCCAUGAUGUAAUGAGUAAUGAGACAGAGAGAAGCAGAGUGUUCCACUAAUUGAUCUCAAUCCACAAGAAAGGAAAAGUAUUUCCUCCUUCCUUCCUCCACAUUGUGUUCUCUUAGAACUGUGCUUUACUUGCCCAGGGAAAAGAACACAAGUUGAGUUUAAGAAGCCAGUUCUUCCCAUUCCAAGAUGAGGCCCCACAUCCAAUGCUAACACUACUUCUUGGAGUGAAUACACUUUAGAACUAUCAAUGAAUGAACUGAGCUGAACUUCCCCAACCCCUGUAGACUCUAAAAUGGGUCAGAAGAGCACAUUGGUUAAAACAAGUCUAAGGCUGAAAAUUUAAUCUCUAUUUGAUUUUCUGGCUUACAUUUUUUUUCUCAGUAACCUUGCCAAAAUAGCCUAGUAGGAGAUCCAUUUUGAACUUGAGUGAUAACAUAAUUAUACUCGAAUCACAAAAUGUCAAUAAUGAGAUGACCCACAUUUAAAUAACAUAUUUUUUUGCUACUAUAACAUUACUGGGCCUAUAUUAAAAUAGAAAGAUUAAAUUAUUUUGCAACUUACUUAAAGUAUAAAUAUAAUGCUUCCAAAGAAUUAAGGGCCAAAUCAUUUUUUUUCCUGAUACUUGUGAGGUAAAAUUUAACAGAUUUUAAAGUCCCCACUCAUUUAAUUUUUUGGCCACUUGGUGUCAGCUGGAAGAGUUCUCAAUACAUUGGACAAGACAGUGAUCUCUAAGCAUUUGAAAAUUGAGCUCUUUCUCAUUGGAAGGGGUGUAUUUUCUUCUUCAUGGUCUCAGAGGUUGUAUUUGUUUAACACUGAGUCUCUGAAGUUCUUCACUAUUUAAAAAAUUCCAAGAAGUUACUGUUAAAGAAAAGAUUAUCAUAGCAAUGGCAUUUAUUCUGAGAACUGGAUAAACAGCAAUCCAUCACGGCUUCUAGAAGAGUUUUCACAGAGAAAAAUAUUUUCAACCUGAUCAUUUGUAUUGCCAAAGACUGCGGCAGAAACUUAGUAUUGUGCUAAAAGAAGAUGGAUAUCUUGGUGGAGACCUUGCUGGCAUAUCAUUCAGUUCAUGCUAUUUUUAAAAAAUCUAAUAAUUGAAAUUUUAACUCAGUUGGAAAACUUUCUCACCAAGAUAUUCAUUCUGGAAUUUUUUACUAUAUCAAUAAAAUUUACUUAUAACUACUGCCUGAUAAGUCAGAAUGGAUUUGCUUGCUUUUCCACUCAUAACAUUCAAAAGCUCCUGGCUUCCAUGUCUGCUGAAUGGGGAUUCUACAAAGUAAAUGGAGUUCCCCACACUUUCUUAUGAUAAAGAAUUUUUCAGUUCUGAAAUACUAAGGCUGCUUCUCCUUCAUUUAAUUUAUCUUUCAAAUUUUUAAGACAUAUAAAAAUAUCCCUUCUUUGAGAGGGUUUCCCCUCUUAUAAGUAAUUAAGAGAUACAGAAUUAAUUUAUCACAAGAUAGUGUUGAUAGCAGGAGGGUGAGUUAGUUGAUACUUGACCCCAUGGAAAAGCUGGUUGAUAUGGUUGACUGUGUUCCCACCCAAAUCUCAUCUUGAAUUGUAUUCCCCAUAAUUCUCACAUAUUGAGGGAUGGACCUGGUGGGAGGCGACUGGAUUAUAGGAGCAGUUUCCCCCAUGCUGUUCUCGUGAUAGUGAGUUCUC
rnacentral:lncRNA from 1 species